rnacentral:lncRNA from 1 species
UGGUGAAAGCCUUUUUGAGUUAUUGUCCGAAGUGUUGAAAAUCCCCCCUUUUUUUAUGAAUAAAGCCCCAUAAAUCCAAAACUUAAAAUCUGAAAUUUAAAAAAAAACGAAAGGGAGCUUACGUCAAUAGAUAUAAACAAUUCACCAAAGUUUCAUGGACAUUAGUGAAAGCCUUUUUUGAGUUAUUGUCCGAAGUGUUGAAAAUCCCCCCUUUUUUAUGAAUAAAGCCCCAUAAAUCCAAAACUUAAAAUCUGAAAUUAAAAAAAAAUGAAAGGGAGCUUACAUCAAUAGAUAUAAACAAUUCACCAAAGUUUCAUGGACAUUGGUGAAAGCCUUUUUGAGUUAUUGUCCGAAGUGUUGAAAAUCCCCCUUUUUUAUGAAUAAAGCCCCAUAAAUCCAAAACUUAAAAUCUGAAAUUAAAAAAAAACGAAAGGGAGCUUACGUCAAUAGAUAUAAACAAUUCACUUAAGUUUCAUGGAAAUUUGUGAAAGUGUUUUUGAGUUAUUGUCCGAAGUGUGGACGACGGACGGACGGACGGACAGACGGACAACGGUAUACCUUAAUACAUCCUGUCCCGGGCGUAUAAAAACUG